rnacentral:lncRNA from 1 species
GUCUACCUAAAUACGUAUUCUGAUAUACCUAUAAGUAAUCACUCAUAAUUUUGUCUUUGAUGUUUAAGAUAUUACAGCCAGGCAAGACAGCUUCACAGACAUGGUAGGAAGAAAUGAUCUGGUGUGAGAAUGGAAGAAGGCCAUAAAUAGUAAGGGUGGUGAUUGAACCUUCCCUGUUUCAUCAAGCCAACCCUCAAGCCACCCUGGUGCCAUCACAGUUGUGACGCUGUCUUGUGGCAGGCAGCAUGUCCAGUUGCAGAAUUUCAGAAUGUAUUGUUGAACAAUGAGGCUUAACUUGCAUUAAAUAAAGACAACUGUGAGUAGGCAAACCCUUCAGACUGGUUAUAUUAUGAGCUGUAGAACUGUUGCCAUUUUUCUGUUCCCCGGUUGUGCCCAUGAAAGAGGUAUGUUCAGGUUGGAGACUCAGGCUCAAAUGGGGGAACAAAGAGCCAAGGACCAAUCUCAGUUUGGUCUGACAGGUGAAUUUUAUCUACUCCCUAAACUCAGCUUUUGUAUCUGAAAGACUCUGAGCGAUACAGAUAGUGACGGGAAAAACCUUUUAGAAAAUAGAAGACAACUUAGUGGUUACUCUGCUAAUGUAGUGGAAGUUGCCAACUGGAAAAUGAAUGCAAAGAAAAACAAUGCAGCUAGAUUGUAUGCCACAAAUUUAUUAUUCAAUAAAUAUUCUGUGGUUUGAUGUACAGUAUCAUAUUUUUAAUAUGCUCUGAUUAGAAAUCUCCUAAAAUAUUCUGGAAGAUUCCAAUACUG